ACCAAGGCUUCGACGGGUAGCCGGCCUGAGAGGGCGACCGGCCACAUUGGGACUGAGAUACGGCCCAAACUCCUACGGGAGGCAGCAGUGGGGAAUAUUGCACAAUGGACGGAAGUCUGAUGCAGCAACGCCGCGUGCGGGAUGACGGCCUUCGGGUUGUAAACCGCUUUCAUCCAUGACGAAGCUUUUGUGACGGUAGUGGGUAAAGAAGCACCGGCUAACUACGUGCCAGCAGCCGCGGUGAUACGUAGGGUGCGAGCGUUGUCCGGAUUUAUUGGGCGUAAAGAGCUUGUAGGCGGUUUGUCGCGUCGGGAGUGAAAACUCGGAGCUUAACUUUGAGCUUGCUUUCGAUACGGGCUGACUUGAGGGAGGUAGGGGAGAAUGGAAUUCCUGGUGGAGCGGUGGAAUGCGCAGAUAUCAGGAGGAACACCGGUGGCGAAGGCGGUUCUCUGGACCUUUCCUGACGCUGAGAAGCGAAAGCGUGGGGAGCGAACAGGCUUAGAUACCCUGGUAGUCCACGCCGUAAACGGUGGGUACUAGGUGUGGGGGACAUUCCACGUUCUCCGUGCCGUAGCUAACGCAUUAAGUACCCCGCCUGGGGAGUACGGCCGCAAGGCUAAAACUCAAAGGAAUUGACGGGGCCCCGCACAAGCGGCGGAGCAUGCGGAUUAAUUCGAUGCAACGCGAAGAACCUUACCAAGGCUUGACAUGUGCCGGUCGGCUCCGGAGACGGGGUUUCCUCCUUGUGGGGCCGGUUCACAGGUGGUGCAUGGUUGUCGUCAGCUCGUGUCGUGAGAUGUUGGGUUAAGUCCCGCAACGAGCGCAACCC
rnacentral:rRNA from 1 species